CCAAAAUGGUCAGUUGACCCCUUAAGGAGUUAUUGCCCUUUAAAGUCAUUUUUUAACAAUUUUCAUUAAUUUGGUAAAUUCUGUUAAGUUUAACAAAGUGUUUUCCUCUGUAACUAAAGGGCCAAGUUCAUUACAGAUAGAGAAAAUUGUAUGUAACAAGAAUGAUCAGUAAAGUAUGAUCUACAAACACAUCACCAUCAC
rnacentral:lncRNA from 1 species